rnacentral:misc_RNA from 1 species
CGCCAUAGAGAAACAAAUUAAUGUUCAAAUUAGGAAGGAAAUAAAUGACAAAUGACUUCUUCCAUUACUUUCCUACCGUGAAGUAUGAUUUAUAUUAUGUAGCAUUUUCCAGUGUCGAUAGUCACUGUUGUUCAUGUAUUUUUUAAAAUAGUGUAUAAACCUUAACAGUUAUAAGUUGAAGAAGUAUUAAAAUGGCAAAUGCAGAUUUUAGAAAGGAUGUGACUAUGCCUGUCCGACCGAGAAGUGUCUAUACAGCGCACUCCUACAAUCAGGAAGAGUCGAACUUGUCCGCCUUCCAAGACUACAGCAAGUUCCUCGAAGGUGGCCUGGGGCAAGCCGAGCUCGUGGGCGCGGCGGGAUGGCAACCUCCAUGGCGCGCUCCUCUGCAGCGCAAGGCUCCCUUCUACCCAGGAGAUGACAUCUACCAUGCUGAUACAUGGCGAGAGCUUGAGAUGACUGAUGUUGUGGGUGGUGCUGGAUACAACGCCUCGGUGACUCCUCAUGGCACCGUCUGCCUCCGCCUGAGAGACAGAGUCAAAGUGGACAUGACGAUCGACGGAGCGGUUCGUGUGACCAACGCUAAGAACAACAUAAUCCUGGCGCUGUCGCGUUCGGGUGCGGCUGCAGCGCUGAUCCACCCUAACGGCCGGGUCUACCACUACGGGUCGAGGGUCGAGAUACAGGCUCGCCAUCAGCAGGGCAAUAACAAGUACGCGAAGAUGUGGUACAAGGGCGUGUCGUUCACGGCGGAGCAGUGCGCGCUGGUCUACUUGGUAGAUGCGGCCGGCACGCGCACUACCACAGAUACUUUCCUCGACAUGAGCCAGGACUUCACUCUCAAUGUCUUUUACAAUGAGUCCCGCCACGGACCUUCGUACGUGAAUGAGGCGCUGUCUCUACUGCAGGCGGCGCAGUACUGGCUCACCGACGAUGGUAUCGACAACUGGAUUAUCAACAACGUGCGCGUCAGUCAGACCGCCGAUGGACUUGUCAGUUCAAUAGGCGCAAAUUCGGAACAUCACGGCGUGCAGCGGAGAGUGCAAUGUGGAGCGUUUCAGCGCAGCUUGUAGUUGUAGCGUGCAGCGUGUGCGCAGCUAGUUUUCAUAGGAAAAUGCAUAAGUAGUUCAGCGUGCAAGUUCAAAGCGACGCCCCGCUUGUUGCGAAUUUGCGGCACAAGAUCUGGGAUCCACCGUUGCAGCCACAAGUACCAGUUACGCACGAGUCCUACCAACGGGUCGGCGUCCAUCACGAG